rnacentral:rRNA from 1 species
AGCACGCCGCGUGAGGGAUGACGGCCUUCGGGUUGUAAACCUCUUUUAGCAGGGAAGAAGCGAAAGUGACGGUACCUGCAGAAAAAGCACCGGCUAACUACGUGCCAGCAGCCGCGGUAAUACGUAGGGUGCAAGCGUUAUCCGGAAUUAUUGGGCGUAAAGAGCUCGUAGGCGGUUUGUCGCGUCUGCUGUGAAAUCCCGAGGCUCAACUUCGGGCUUGCAGUGGGUACGGGCAGACUAGAGUGCGGUAGGGGAGAUUGGAAUUCCUGGUGUAGCGGUGGAAUGCGCAGAUAUCAGGAGGAACACCGAUGGCGAAGGCAGAUCUCUGGGCCGUAACUGACGCUGAGGAGCGAAAGGGUGGGGAGCAAACA